UACGUAGGGUGCGAGCGUUGUCCGGAAUUACUGGGCGUAAAGAGCUCGUAGGUGGUUUGUCGCGUUGUUCGUGAAAACUCACAGCUUAACUGAGGGCGUGCGGGCGAUACGGGCAGACUGGAGUACUGCAGGGGAGACUGGAAUUCCUGGUGUAGCGGUGGAAUGCGCAGAUAUCAGGAGGAACACCGGUGGCGAAGGCGGGUCUCUGGGCAGUAACUGACGCUGAGGAGCGAAAGCGUGGGGAGCGAACAGG
rnacentral:rRNA from 1 species